CUGAUAGAGAGUUUGAUCUUGGCUCAGGGUGAACGCUGGCGGCGCGCCUAAUGCAUGCAAGUCGAGCGAGCCAACUUCGAUUCGUCGGAGUUGGAAAGCGGCAGACGGCUGAGUAACGCGUGAGUAACCUGUCCUCUGGUGGGGUAAAACCCCGAGAAAUCGAGGCUAAUACCGCAUAAGGUCCUCCGGCCAUGGCCGGAGGAAGAAAGCUUUCUUGCAAGAGAGCUCCAGAGGAGAGGCUCGCGUCCUAUCAGGUAGUUGGUGGGGUAAUGGCCUACCAAGCCUAUGACGGGUAGCUGGUCUGAGAGGAUGACCAGCCAGAGGGGGACUGAGACACGGCCCCCACUCCUACGGGAGGCAGCAG
rnacentral:rRNA from 1 species